UACGGGGGGGGCAAGCGUUGUUCGGAAUUACUGGGCGUAAAGGGCUCGUAGGCGGCCAACUAAGUCGGAUGUGAAAUCCCCAGGCUCAACUUGGGAACUGCAUCCGAUACUGGAUGGCUUGAAUUCGGGAGAGGGAUGCAGAAUUCCAGGUGUAGCGGUGAAAUGCGUAGAUAUCUGGAGGAAUACCGGUGGCGAAGGCGGCAUCCUGGACCGACAUUGACGCUGAGACGCGAAAGCGUGGGGAGCGAACAGG
rnacentral:rRNA from 1 species